GACGAACGCUGGCGGCGUGCUUAACACAUGCAAGUCGAACGGAAAGGCCCUGCUUUUGUGGGGUGCUCGAGUGGCGAACGGGUGAGUAACACGUGAGUAACCUGCCCUUGACUUUGGGAUAACUUCAGGAAACUGGGGCUAAUACCGGAUAGGAGCUCCUGUUGCAUGGUGGGGGUUGGAAAGUUUCGGCGGUUGGGGAUGGACUCGCGGCUUAUCAGCUUGUUGGUGGGGUAGUGGCUUACCAAGGCUUUGACGGGUAGCCGGCCUGAGAGGGUGACCGGCCACAUUGGGACUGAGAUACGGCCCAGACUCCUACGGGAGGCAGCAGUGGGGAAUAUUGCACAAUGGGCGGAAGCCUGAUGCAGCAACGCCGCGUGCGGGAUGACGGCCUUUGGGUUGUAAACCGCUUUCGCCUGUGACGAAGCGUGAGUGACGGUAAUGGGUAAAGAAGCACCGGCUAACUACGUG
rnacentral:rRNA from 1 species